UACGUAGGGGGCGAGCGUUGUCCGGAAUUACUGGGCGUAAAGGGCGCGUAGGCGGCCCGUUAAGUCCGCUGUGAAAGACCGAGGCUCAACCUCGGGGUUUCAGCGGAGACUGUCGGGCUGGAGUCUCGGAGAGGGAUGCGGAAUUCCUGGUGUAGCGGUGGAAUGCGUAGAGAUCAGGAGGAACACCGAUGGCGAAGGCAGCAUCCUGGCCGAGUACUGACGCUGAGGCGCGAAAGCGUGGGGAGCGAACGGG
rnacentral:rRNA from 1 species